AGGACGAACGCUGGCGGCGUGCUUAACACAUGCAAGUCGAACGGUAAGGCCCUUCGGGGUACACGAGUGGCGAACGGGUGAGUAACACGUGGGUGAUCUGCCCUGCACUUUGGGAUAAGCCUGGGAAACUGGGUCUAAUACCGAAUAUGACCAUGGGAUGCAUGUCUUGUGGUGGAAAGCUUUUGCGGUGUGGGAUGGGCCCGCGGCCUAUCAGCUUGUUGGUGGGGUUACGGCCUACCAAGGCGACGACGGGUAGCCGGCCUGAGAGGGUGUCCGGCCACACUGGGACUGAGAUACGGCCCAGACUCCUACGGGAGGCAGCAGUGGGGAAUAUUGCACAAUGGGCGAAAGCCUGAUGCAGCGACGCCGCGUGAGGGACGAAGGCCUUCGGGUUGUAAACCUCUUUCAGCACAGACGAAGCGCAAGUGACGGUAUGUGCAGAAGAAGGACCGGCCAACUACGUGCCAGCAGCCGGCGGUAA
rnacentral:rRNA from 1 species